CAUCAACUAUAAUUGAAGUGUGCCCCUCUGCUGCCACCUCGUGUGCAACCUGGGAAUAACAUCUUCGUGCCUUUCAGCAGUUUUGAAGAGCCGGCCUUGUGUAAUUAUCGGCUGGGACACAGCUAACUUCUGACACCGCUGAAGCCGAGAGAUAAUGGACAGCUGCCAGCAAAGCAAUGAAAAAAUAUCCUUGGGUGAGGAUUAAAAAACAAAACAAAACAAAACCAAAACAGGUAAAACCUUUGCUCUACCCAUUGUGACUAGCUUGGUUGAGCAUCGUCCCAUGCAUCAAAAGGUCACCUGUUCAAUUCCAGGUCUGGAUACAUGCCCAGGUUGUGGGUUCAACAAAAGGCAACUGAUGAAUCUCACCAUUUGUGAUGGAUAUACCUCUCACAUGGAUGUUUCUCUCUUUUUCCCUCUGUUUUCCUAUCUCUGAAAUCAAUA